UCGAAAGAAUUUGGUAAAAUUAGUACUUGAAAUUGAAACAACUACUUAAAAUUACUGUAUUGUAAGAAAAUCCACCCAUACCAUAUCAUAUCAUAACCAAUUGACAUAUCUCAUGUGAACUUGUUCAUCAAGGUGUUGAUGAAAGUUCUGGUCUAAAACAUUCAAUGAACGUUUUGAAGAAGUUAUUGUGCCAUAAGUAUCAAAAUUGAAAGAAAUGUGACAAAAUAAUUUCAAUUCACAGAAUAUUUCACUCGCAAGCUACAAUU
rnacentral:lncRNA from 1 species